UAGCAAUGAGGUUGAGCUUUUUAGGGAGCAAGCCUUGACAAGGUGCUUGCAUAUUUUGGAAAUUUAAGUAAACACGAAUGUUCUGUUUUAUCUUCUGCAUCUCCCUUCAAAUUUAUCGUUAUUAUUUUAAGAUAUUUUUUCUUAUUUUAAUUAAGGCUAUUCAUCAUUCCAUUAGCGACCAGAAUUAUAUUUACUAUAUAAGUCUAUAUGAUUGCAAUUUUCAUGUAGUGUGCUCAUUUUACGGUUUUAGUUGCAUAAGGUAUACCAGCUUUAGGAACUUGUUCCUCUUAAUAUAUUUCCUUUCUUUCCUUCAAUUAGAGAAUCGGGAUUAUGGUUCUUUGCCAUUUGAACAGGUUUUAGCAUGUCAUCCCUCGGAAAAUCGCUAAAAGUACCUAUUCCAUUUAUCAGGUCUUAAUGUAAGCAUUAUCCAUAGUGGUUACUUACACUUAUCAAGUGAAAAUGUAAUAUUAUCCAUGGUUGUCUCCACACAAGUUACUAUUACCUCUGAACUGACUGGUAGGAUGUGCGGAUCCUGAACCACCGACAGGUGCCAGCCAUGCAUCCUUUCAGUAUGUACUCCAUUCGAUAAGAUUGGAUCACAAUAUAUAUUCUGACAAGGAAUGACUCUCUCUAUAUCAUGGAAGGGAUUAUAGUUUUUAAUCAUGGUGUACGUUGGAUCUUGCUGCAAUAUAACACAAUAGGCCACCAAGCUUCUAAUGUAUAGAUGCAACCGUCUUGUUUCCUAAGAAUGGUAUGUCUUUCUUUGUUUGUGCAAAUCUUGAGAAACUUCUUCCCACUUUGUAAUUUCUAAGCGGCCAUUCAAGUUAGAGAACAACCUUAUCAGUUUUUUACAAUAUUAUUUAUAGAAUUAUUCACAAAUACUGAAAUACUGCUCCCCUAUUCAUGUUUAACUUUGGCUCAUGUUGAGGUUUGUGGUCCACCACAUUAUUUCGUUACAAACUAAUUAAUUAAAGUUCCUUUGUUUGGUAACUAACUAAUAUACAUGUAAAUUUAAUAUUUAGUUCUAAUGUUUCAUGCGUGUAUAUUUAUAUAAUUCUUACAUUAUAUCUGAAAAAUAGGGGGUGCCGCAACCCGCGACACCAUACUAGGCAUCCCUAUGUGUGGUGCUGUCCAAAGAGGCCUGAUGGCCUUCCACACUUCCUCUACAUUGGCGGUUCCUCCCUCUGCCCCCUUUCGUGAUAUGCGAGCAGCCACAAUGUAUGCCAAAUUAGGUUACCAAAUGGAAAAAAUUAGCUUUUCGCAGCGGUUCCCUCCACUGUGAGCUGCCAAAGCCAAAAAAAAAAGAAGGAAUUGGUGCAGCUACUUGCUCCGACACCAAAUCUCUCCAUUGAAUUAAACAAGCAUUAUGUGCAUGAAAGGUAGUAACAGGUUAGGAGAGAAGUCUAGGAAUGCAUGUGCUUCUAGAUUAAUCUCUGAUUUUUUAUUCUCUCAUGGGUCCUGCUCCUGGAAAAUUUAGCAUUGAGACACAUUGUAGGAAAAAUACACAUAUAGCACCAUUGAUGUAUAUACAUACGUGGCAAAUUUGUCAUUGCACACAUUUGGCACAUUUGAUGCCCUGCAUGCACCAGCCAUAUUUGCACUUUUUCAGGAGAUUGAAGUACUUUAGCAUGGAGUAAAGAUAAAUUAAGCAAAAAAAUCAAUUGCUAGACUAUCGUAUUUGUCACAGUACCUGCUCUGAAUAUUUUAGUCCUUGAAUCCUGAUCUAUUCCAAACCAUCUUUAUUAGUGUAAUUUUCUAUUUCUUUUUUAAGUGUACCUCAUUGCUGGUUGAUUAUUCCAAACCAGAUUUGUUCUUUUGGAACUUAUGUAACUACCUUAUUGUUCUAGAAAUAAGUUACCUGUAAAGAUUCAUACUUUUGCCUGUAUGGUCUGGUUGUAUUUAUUUAGUACCCAGCAAUUUGUAUUGAUUAUUUGAACCCAUUCAAAUCACUAAUCUAUUUUGCCACUUAAGAAAAUAGGUUAUGCAGAGAGAAGAGGCCUUGAGAUACCGCAAAUUAAGAAGAAAGGAUUAUUAAAUAUCUGCUGCCCCCAGGGGAAAUGAAGGAAAUGUUACCGGCUAUGUCACUAUUUGAUAUAUCUUCAUGCUACAUAAAUAUUGGAUAAUCUCUUAAAGUUAAUGAAGUAUGAUCAUCUAAUAUGUGAGCCAUCAAAAUCUACGAGGCAUUGUAAUAAACACAAACCAAAGAAGGUGCAAGUUCAAAAUAAAUCAGAAGUCUGCACAUAUGAAGCAGUAGCUCAUAAUUAUUCUCCUAAAGGUGAGUUCAUAUACAUAUCCAAUAUAAAUUGUGCUCCCUCUAGCUAAGUUCUGUAAAUACUUCCCAAAGCAUUUGUUUUCUCCGAUUAAUCACCAUCACUGAAAUUGAGAGCAGAGUUUUGUCAACUUUCCAAGCAUUUGCUAUUGCUUUCUCCUUUUCAGUUCUACAAGGAAGCAUUUGCAUUGUGAUAGAAUAGUUAGGAUAAGGAAUAUCAAGGUUUUGUCUGUAAACAAUAUUUUUGGUAUUUAGUUAGUUCUGUGAUAUGCAGAUAUAUAGUUGUCAACAUGCAUAUUUGACUGUUGGAUAAGUAGUUGAAGCAUUUCAAUAUUCACAGAUUUGAUAUCUCCAUCAUUUCAAUAGCGUGGUUCUUAUCAAAAUUAGAAACCCCUCCAGGCUGUGUUGUAUUGCCAUGCCAUCUACAGUGGUAUAGCGAUCUACUCACUUGUGAUUAUGUGUAUGUCUGUGAUCAAACCUAUUACAUUUACUAUUCCUUGGUAUAUUAUUUUCGAUGGUACUAGGCUACUAGCUUGCAAAUUCUACUGUUUAAUCUCAUCCAAAGUUGUGCUUUCCAGCAACUUCAAGAUGAACAAGAGCUAUCCUAUUGGUUUUCUGCAUAUGAAAUAUUUACGAACUGUCCCCAACAAAUUGUACCUUUAUGAUCGCACGAAACAAUCUUGUUGUGGGAAAAAAUCUCAAUGUAGAAAUAAUAACUGCUCUAUUGCCUUUUGUGCAUCUACAUCGAGCUACUACAUUGUAAUUCCCAA